UUGGGCAUAUAUAGAAGUUGAGAUUGAGGAGUUGCUACAGUGAAGUAUACAAAUACACAUAAAGCAUUGUCUCUCUCAAUUUAUCAAAUCAUACCUUAAUUAUAUUUGGGCAUAUAUAUAGAAGUUGAGAUUGAGGAGUUGCUGCAGUGAAGUAUACAAAUACAUCCGUGAAAAUGAUUUGAACGGGCACAUAUAAGAGAGAGAUCAUCGCCCAUAAAAGAAAGCAAUUAACAAGACUUGUGCUCCUUGGUUGCAGAUCUUAGUUGUAAUGAUAGAGAAGACAUACAUGAAUCACAUGAUUAUAUCAAUUACAUGUUUUCUGGGUUUGAAUGGUUAUUGGUGGGUUUGAAAUGUGUUUGCUGGAUGUAUCACAACAAAGGAUAAAUUUAGAAAUUUGGGUCAAAAAAGUUAAUUGCUAGGUGCAUCUAAUAAUUUGCUGGGUAUAUUUAACAACACCCUAUAUAUAUACAUAUAUAUACAGCCCCGUUUGAGAGCGGAUGUCCGCACUGAGCUUAAAGUGCGGAUGUCGCCGAUUUCUCCACCUUUAGGGUGUUGACGGCGGCGCUUCUCUUGCCGGAUGAACACCAGAGGCCUCUGGGACGACAUUGACAUGAAGAAGAAGGUCAAGGAGAUCGGGGUCGAGACUUUAAACUCUUUCUGUUUGUUUCCAGUCAAAGAGGUUUCUUGAGAAUGCAUCUAGGGCUAAUUGUGGUCCUUCUGAUGGUGGCGCAACUUGUGCGUGCAUUGCUUUUAUUGGGAACUUCCAGAUGAUAUGUUGCGAUUAAUUAAUGAGUUGGACAUGACCGAGAAGUUUGGUCUAACAAUCCUAAGGGCCAAACUCUACUGGCCAUUCCAGCUCAUCCUCUUCCGUCAUAAUUUUGUUUCUAUUCGGUAAAUAUAAAUAAAAUUAUAAAGACUUAGUUUUUUUUUUAUUGGGAGUGAGAUAACGAACCAGCUCGAUUACGUUACAAGUUAGUGUUUUUGCUAGGGUUCUGGGGCGGACCGAUAGUAGAAUGUGAAAAGUUUAAUUCCAACCUGCACAAGAUAGUCAUGGGAUCAGGAGUCAAGACUGGGGAGCCCAGCUUAUGACUCUCUGAUGCCUAAGUCAGGGACCAACCGAUGCGAGAGAGUUAAGUUGGAGAAGGAAAAGAAGAACCUACCUGGCUGGGAAGGACCCCUUGUUCAUAUAGUUUGCCAUUGGGAGUCGUGUUAGUCCCCAUCGAGGUGAGAUUGGUGUGAACCUGGAUGUGUGCCCAAUAGCUUGGGUUGAGACUUAUGGGAAACCAUUGCUGGAGGCUUCUCCGAGAGAUCUCCGGCGUACCACCACCCAGUCUUGCCGGUGAGCCUGGCUCGGUGUGGACUGAUGGUGGGUUUCCCGUCUCCAGUGGCCGGAGAAUGAGGACCUUAGGCCCAGUACUUCUAUGGUUGGGAGGUGUAGUAAAUAGUUAGUAACACACUCACUCGGUUAGUAUUCAGCUCGAGGUCUAUGAGAGUAUCCUAACAAAGCCAGACUAAUCUCCUACCACAGGCACACGAACACGGAGGCUUUUCAAACCUGCUGACCACAAAUUAAUAGGAGUUGAGACUUGAACUCCCAUCAGUUUGUAGCCAUGCAGUGUUUUACUAUUGCUGAAUUAUUCACGACUAUACCCUAAAAUACUCUAAAACAAAUAUCAAUUCAUGAUAGAGAAUAUGAAUAAAGACAAUAUAGAAAAAAUUCCUACAAAUAUUGAUGAUGUCUCUCCACUAUUUCAUAUUUCCGUACGCAUAGAUUGGGAGCCCGGGUCUAGUGUAUCAAUUAUUGUUAGAAAUGCCUUGGCUUUUGGACGAAGGUUUUGUGGUUGAUGAUGAUUUUGCGGAACGAGCUAAAAUGGAGGAACAAACCUGUCCUGCGCCCACCCCCGUCCCACGUGAAGUACCGGCAUGCAUGCGCAUGCAGUUUAAUUUUUUUGUUUUUUGUUUUUGGAUACAUAUGCAGUUUAAUUUAGCAGCAUCAGUAUUUCUGGUUUUAGCAGCAUCAGUAUCACCGUCCCACGUGAAGACCACGUGAAAAUGAAAUUACAGCCAACAACCUCUUUUCCUUAUAAGACCCACCAAUUGCUUUAGAUCUUCUAUAUUCCAGAUUUUGCGACCAUUGCUCAACAUAUUUAUGAUUCGCUAACAUCAAAUCACUCAAACCACGAUAAUGUUCUUUAAUUCUUCUUACUAGAUCCUUGUGUUCUAUAUAUUUUUCUU
rnacentral:lncRNA from 1 species